GACGAACGCUGGCGGCGUGCUUAACACAUGCAAGUCGAACGAUGAAGCCUUCGGGUGGAUUAGUGGCGAACGGGUGAGUAACACGUGGGCAAUCUGCCCUGUAUUUUGGGAUAAGCCUUGGAAACGGGGUCGUAAUACCGGAUAUCACUUCUGACCGCAUGGUUGGUUGUUGAAAGUUCUGGCGGUACAGGAUGAGCCCGCGGCCUAUCAGCUUGUUGGUGGGGUAAGUGGCCUACCAAGGACGACGACGGGUAGCCGGCCUGAGAGGGUGACCGGCCACACUGGGACGUGAGACACGGCCCAGACUCCUACGGGAGGCAGCAGUGGGGAAGUAUUGCACAAUGGGCGGAAAGACCUGAUGCAGCGACGCCGCGUGAGGGAUGACGGCCU
rnacentral:rRNA from 1 species